AGGACACGCCCGCUUACUUUGAGAGGGGAGUGGGAGAGAGGGAAGCGACCGCGGCAAUGCGUGGAAGCCGUGACAGAGGGAUGGCGAGGCCGUGUUGGAAGCUCUGUUUGUGGCGGAUGGAGCCCUCUCUCUUCAAGAAAUCCUGACCCUACCCUUCUUCCGUCCCGCCGUUCCCCCUUCCAAUCCCCGUAGGGAUUCUUGGAGAUGGGGGAGUUGCCGAAGCUGCUGUACAUUGUGGUGGUGGACGAAGGAACGAGGAGAGGGGACGAGAGGGAGAGCUUGUCGUUCCGGUACACGCGGCCGGUGCUGCAGAGCACGCUCCAGCUCAUGGGAUGCAAGGCUCGCCAUGCCUUCAAGAUUAGCCGAAGAGUAUUUGAAGUGAUGAGGAGUGAAAACAUGUCAAAAUGUGAUGCCUUGGAAAGGCCAUUUAGUAAAGGAAAUGAAUGCAAAGAAAAUGAACAUUGCCAAGCUGGUUGCUUGAGUCAGGAGGAGGUCAGCAGCCACUUGACUCGAGAGGGUAUGGUUACCAGUAGCACAAUACCAUUUGAAUUGUACAAAAGACUAGCAACUGUUGCUGUUACACGAGAGAACUUUUUAAAUGUUGUUUGUGAUGCUCUAUCCAUAUAUAAGUAUAUUGGUCCCAAUCAACGAGCUGACUUGCUUCUAGCAUGCAGAAUUCGUGAAAGAAAGGAAUCUGUAACAGUUCUUUUGUGCGGCACAAGUGGGUGUGGCAAAUCUACUUUGUCAGCUUUGCUGGGAAGCAGAUUGGGUGUCACAACUGUCGUUUCUACGGAUUCGAUACGCCACAUGAUGAGGAGCUUUAUGGAUGAAAAACAAAAUCCGCUUCUCUGGGCUUCAACAUAUCAUGCUGGUGAAUGCUUAGAUCCAGUGGCAGUCGCCAAAGCAAAGGCUAAACGGAAAGCAAAGAAGCAUGCUGUUGUCUCUCACCCGAUGGUUGAGGAAUUAUCUGAUGGUACUUUAAAUGAAUCUGAUGGUCAGUCUGCAGAUCCAGUUUCUGGAACCAAACUGAUUGGCAAAAAGCAAAUGGCCAUUGAGGGAUUCAAAGCACAAAGUGAGUUGGUUAUAGAAAGCCUUGAUCAGUUGAUUACUGCAUGGGAAGAGCGAAAAGAAUCUGUUGUUGUUGAGGGUGUCCACCUAAGCUUUAAUUUUGUGAUGGGACUUAUGAAGAAGCAUCCUUCAAUUAUUCCUUUCAUGAUUUACAUUGCAAAUGAGGACAAACACAUGGAACGAUUUGCAGUACGUGCAAAAUAUAUGACCCUGGAUCCAGCCAAAAAUAAGUAUGUUAAGUACAUCCGCAAUAUCAGAUCCAUUCAGGAGUAUCUCUGUAAUCGUGCUGACAAGCAUCUGGUGCCAAAAAUUAAUAACACAAAUGUUGAUCGGAGUGUGGCAGCUAUCCAUGCCACCAUUUUCAGUUGCCUACAUAGGCGAGAGGCAGGAGAGCAGCUGUAUGAUACAACCACUAAUACGGCGUCUGUAAUACGUGAAGAAUAUAGAAACCAGUGUGCUGCUAACUCUCUGAGUUCGAAGGGAAUGUUUCAAUUGAUCCAGAGGAAUGGGUCCUUUAGGCAUUUGAUAGCGCUUAUUAAUGCCGAUGGAUCUGUUGCCAAGGCUUGGCCUAUUGAGUCAGUUGGUGGUCAUGGAAAGGCCACAUCUGGAAUGGGCAGUGAGAAGUGUGUGGGAAACCCUAUGUAUGGUCCCAUGCAGAUUGAGAAGGCAGAGCGGGUUAAUCUUCAUUUUGGUAAUUUUGGGAUCAGUGCAUGGCCAAGUGAUAUAGGUGGUACAAGUCACACAGGAAGCAUCAAUGACUCAAGGGGUGAUGGCACUAACACUGGUAGUAGAUAUUAUUCUUCCUGUUGCAGCUCUCCAAAGAUGUCAGGUGGGCCUUCUAAAGAGCUCAAGGAGGAACUGUCGGUACCUGGUAGUGAAGAAGAAGCUGAUGAUCCACCUGGUGGCGACAGUGAUGAGGAUCUAACUGACAAUAAGGAGUUCCAGGAUGAGAUGGAAGGUUCUGUCGAUGAGAACUCAGCCAAGACUGAUGAGGAGUAUGAUGACUUGGCCAUGCGAGAUGGCCUAGGGAAUGGUUACUGGUCUGAAAAUGAUGAGGGCCCGAAUAAUGAAAAGAAACUAGUAGUCAAGAAAAUGGAAACAGCGGAUGACUCAGGAAUGACAGAGAAAUACCGACAUAAUCUGGAUCUCUUCUUGAAGAUGAGUGAGCAUUUUGCUGAACUGCCAUAUUCCUACUCCCUCCUCUCAGAGAGAGGUUUGGACAUGAAAAUGACAAAAGAUUCAUUCAGUGGAUCUUUGCGAUUCCAAAGCCAGACGCAAAGCAUUCCAGCCAUAGGUGAGUCUGAGCCUAUGUACAGGGGCCCGGUCCUUUAGUAGCACCUCAGACGUGGUAUAUUGGACCAAAGGACUGCUGGACGAAGUUUUUGUAGCGAGGUCUGAAAGCGUGAGGCGGUACUAAAUCUAUCUCCUGUUUUGCUUGUUGACAUCGUCAGGUUUGAGAGGAUUUGGUCGACAUUAGCUUGUCUGCCUUUGAUUAUCUUCUAUGGCAUUUCUCAGGGGUUCCCAACACCUUAAUCUUGCUCAAUCUGGGAACGUAACGUUCUGUUGUGAAGAUGGGUAUCCAUCAGUGCUGUGCACUGCUUGGAAAGAUAGGAAUAUUCUCAGAAUUUUCUACCGACAAAGGGGUGAUGUAGGAAUACCCAGUCAUGCUGUUCGCUCCAUCGGCAAAGUGUGCAUUAAAUGAUCUGAGGCCCGAGGGAUGCCAUGGAGGCUGUUUAAAUUGGUAACAUUGGGUUCUGUAGAAGGAUGGAGAGGUAUCCAUGGUAGAUCCAGGUCACACAUUUUAAGAUAUAACAUCCAAAAAUUUGAAUCUGGAAAUUCCUCAGGUAGCGAAGUGGUGUGACUAGGGCAGUACUCAGUUCACCAAGUUAGGGAUCAUAUCCUAAAAGCUUUGGGCCCAUUGGCCUAUUUGGCAUUGUCGCUUCUAUGUUUCCGUUGAAAUGUCGUCAGAUGGAGAUUGAUGUUAAAGAUAGCAUUUGGCAGAUCUUCCGCUAUUACUUUCUUUUAUGUUUCACUCCUAUCUGAAAGCAUUUAAUCUUUGCUACCAAAAGCUUCUUGUAGUCUUCGUCACUGUUCAUUCUGGUUUUCUGUAAACAAUAAUACAAAGCAAAAACGAUACCAAUGUGCUCUUACAGAAACAGAAUGACAGUCACGGGCCUGUCCUGUUUUAUAAGAGAAUCUCCGGUGGAUGGUUCCAAGAUGUGGAAAGUCAAACCCACGUUAAUCAGUUGGCUAAACAGAGGCUUGCUGAGUCAAAUUUUUAGAAUAUAUUAUCACUGGCUGAAUAAUGAUCAACCAGCUUUGAUGGUAAGCCAACCGCAUCCAAUCGUGACUAUGGUUUCAUGGCUAAGAGUUUGUUUGUUGCAAGAAAGUGGGUGAAAAUUAAAGUGCCUUUCUCGAGAACUAACUUUAGGACAAAGUGACUUCAAGGGCAAGUGUAAUUCUGUUACUCAUAUUGUUUGAUAAGUGAAUAGUGAAAAGUGCAAUUUUGAGACCGAGUAUUCGGUGGUGGGAUGGUCAACCCAGAAAAACAAUCAACAAAAACGAUUUGCUUUUACCUAAUUUAACAAAGCAAAAAUCGAGAAGAAAAUUAUUUUGCAAAAUAACCCAUGAGAAACUUGCAAAUUGACGUUCAUCUUUCACAAGAAUAUCCGACAGAACCUCAUGUAAGCAGUGGAAUUUUUGUGAACUGUAACAUGCAUGAAACCACUGCACCAUUCCAUAACCGACCGGUCUGGA